rnacentral:rRNA from 2 species
ACUCAAUGCAAAUCUAAGAGAUUAGACGUUCCCUUCGGGGACAUGGAUACAGGUGGUGCAUGGUUGUCGUCAGCUCGUGUCGUGAGAUGUUGGGUUAAGUCCCGCAACGAGCGCAACCCUUAUUAUCAGUUGCCAGCAUUAAGUUGGGCACUCUGGUGAGACUGCCGGUGACAAACCGGAGGAAGGUGGGGAUGACGUCAAAUCAUCAUGCCCCUUAUGACCUGGGCUACACACGUGCUACAAUGGAUGGUACAACGAGUUGCGAACUCGCGAGAGUAAGCUAAUCUCUUAAAGCCAUUCUCAGUUCGGAUUGUAGGCUGCAACUCGCCUACAUGAAGUCGGAAUCGCUAGUAAUCGCGGAUCAGCAUGCCGCGGUGAAUACGUUCCCGGGUCUUGAACACACCGA